rnacentral:rRNA from 1 species
GACGAACGCUGGCGGCGUGCUUAACACAUGCAAGUCGAACGGUGACCCAGGGCUUGCCCUGGUGAUCAGUGGCGAACGGGUGAGUAACACGUGGGGCAACCUGCCCCUGACUUCGGGAUAACUCCUCGAAAGAGGAGCUAAUACCGGAUACGACCACUUCGGACAUCCGAUGGUGGUGGAAAGUUUUUCGGUCAGGGAUGGGGCCCGCGGCCUAUCAGCUAGUUGGUGGGGUAAUGGCCUACCAAGGCGACGACGGGUAGCCGGCCUGAGAGGGCGACCGGCCACACUGGGACUGAGACACGGCCCAGACUCCUACGGGAGGCAGCAGUGGGGAAUAUUGCGCAAUGGGCGAAAGCCUGACGCAGCGACGCCGCGUGAGGGAUGAAGGCCUUCGGGUUGUAACCUCUUUCAGCAGGGACGAAGCGAAAGUGACGGUACCUGCAGAAGAAGCA